rnacentral:rRNA from 1 species
UACGAACGCUGGCGGCGUGCCUAAUACAUGCAAGUAGAACGCUGACUACUUUAGCUUGCUAGAGUUGGAAGAGUUGCGAACGGGUGAGUAACGCGUAGGUAACCUGCCUAUUAGCGGGGGAUAACUAUUGGAAACGAUAGCUAAGACCGCAUAGGUACGGACACUGCAUGGUGACCGUAUUAAAAGUGCCUCAAAGCACUGGUAGAGGAUGGACUUAUGGCGCAUUAGCUGGUUGGCGGGGUAACGGCCCACCAAGGCGACGAUGCGUAGCCGACCUGAGAGGGUGACCGGCCACACUGGGACUGAGACACGGCCCAG